UUGCUUCAGCAGCACAUAUACUAAAAAAAUGGAACGAUACAGAGAAGAUUAGCAUGGCCUCUACACAAGCACAUGAUAUGGUUUGGCUGUGUCCCCACCCAAAUCUCA
ensembl:snRNA U6 U6 spliceosomal RNA